UACGUAGGGACCAAGCGUUGUUCGGAUUUACUGGGCGUAAAGGGCGCGUAGGCGGCAAUUCAAGUCAGUUGUGAAAUCUCCGAGCUUAACUCGGAACGGUCAACUGAUACUGCUUUGCUAGAGUACAGAAGGGGCAAUCGGAAUUCCUGGUGUAGCGGUGAAAUGCGUAGAUAUCAGGAGGAACACCUGUGGCGAAAGCGGCUCACUGGACCAUAACUGACGCUGAUGCACGAAAGCUAGGGGAGCAAACAGG
rnacentral:rRNA from 1 species